AAUAAGAUGCCUGAUAAAAGGAUUAUUUUGAUGUAAUAAAUUAUGUAAAUUAAUAUUACUCUUAUUA
rnacentral:tRNA from 1 species